rnacentral:rRNA from 1 species
CGGAGGCAGCAGUGGGGAAUAUUGCACAAUGGAGGGAACUCUGAUGCAGCAACGCCGCGUGAGUGAAGAAGGCCUUCGGGUCGUAAAACUCUGUGAUCGGGGACAAGAAGAAGAUGGUACCCGAAGAGGAAGCUCCGGCAAACUACGUGCCAGCAGCCGCGGUAAUACGUAGGGAGCGAGCGUUGUCCGGAAUUACUGGGCGUAAAGAGUGCGUAGGCGGCAUAUCAAGUCAGGUGUGAAAUACUUCAGCUCAACUGAGGAAUUGCAUUUGAAACUGAUAAGCUUGAGUAUAGGAGAGGAAAGCGGAAUUCCUGGUGUAGCGGUGAAAUGCAUAGAGAUCAGGAGGAACACCGGUGGCGAAGGCGGCUUUCUGGACUAAAACUGACGUUGAGGCACGAAAGCGUGGGGAGCAAACAGGAUUAGAUACCCCGGUAGU